GACGAAUGCUGGCUGCGUGCUUAACACAUGCAAGUCGAACGGUGAAGGGGAGCUUGCUCCCCGGAUCAGUGGCGAACGGGUGAGUAACACGUGGGCAACCUGCCCCUCACUCUGGGAUAACUCCGGGAAACCGGGGCUAAUACCGGAUACGACCGGGAGCGACAUCGCUCCUGGUGGAAAGAACUUCGGUGAGGGAUGGGCCCGCGGCCUAUCAGCUAGUUGGUGGGGUAACGGCCCACCAAGGCGACGACGGGUAGCCGGCCUGAGAGGGCGACCGGCCACACUGGGACUGAGACACGGCCCAGACUCCUACGGGAGGCAGCAGUGGGGAAUAUUGCGCAAUGGGCGAAAGCCUGACGCAGCGACGCAGCGUGAGGGACGAAGGCCUUCGGGUUGUAAACCUCUUUCAGCGGAGACGAAGCGAAAGUGACGGUACCCGCAGAAGAAGCACCGGCUAACUACGUGCCAGCCGCCGCAGUAAAAC
rnacentral:rRNA from 1 species